GCUCAGUACCCUUGUUCUUUAACAAGCACUUGCACUAUUACUUCAGUGUCGCCACACUGUGGACUCGAGUCUCGUCCAUCCACAAGAAAAGCAAUGUGUGCACUGAUCUUAUCGGAUCGAUCACCGUCCUCAUGAUGAUCCAUCGAUCAGGAGCAUUUAGAAAUUAAUCACCAAUGAUACAUGGCUCAAAUUCUCAACUCUUGAGAAUAUGCA
rnacentral:lncRNA from 1 species